rnacentral:rRNA from 1 species
AUAACGGUCCUAAGGUAGCGAAAUUCCUUGUCGGGUAAGUUCCGACCCGCACGAAUGGCGUAACGAUGGCCACACUGUCUCCUCCCGAGACUCAGCGAAGUUGAAGUGGUUGUGAAGAUGCAAUCUACCCGCUGCUAGACGGAAAGACCCCGUGAACCUUUACUGUAGCUUUGCAUUGGACUUUGAAGUCACUUGUGUAGGAUAGGUGGGAGGCUUAGAAGCAGAGACGCCAGUCUCUGUGGAGCCGUCCUUGAAAUACCACCCUGGUGUCUUUGAGGUUCUAACCCAGACCCGUUAUCCGGGUCGGGGACCGUGCAUGGUAGGCAGUUUGACUGGGGCGGUCUCCUCCCAAAGAGUAACGGAGGAGUUCGAAGGUUACCUAGGUCCGGUCGGAAAUCGGACUGAUAGUGCAAUGGCAAAAGGUAGCUUAACUGCGAGACCGACAAGUCGAGCAGGUGCGAAAGCAGGACAUAGUGAUCCGGUGGUUCUGAAUGGAAGGGCCAUCGCUCAACGGAUAAAAGGUACUCCGGGGAUAACAGGCUGAUUCCGCCCAAGAGUUCAUAUCGACGGCGGAGUUUGGCACCUCGAUGUCGGCUCAUCACAUCCUGGGGCUGUAGUCGGUCCCAAGGGUAUGGCUGUUCGCCAUUUAAAGUGGUACGUGAGCUGGGUUUAAAACGUCGUGAGACAGUUUGGUCCCUAUCUGCAGUGGGCGUUGGAAGUUUGACGGGGGCUGCUCCUAGUACGAGAGGACCGGAGUGGACGAACCUCUGGUGUACCGGUUGUCACGCCAGUGGCAUCGCCGGGUAGCUAAGUUCGGAAGAGAUAAGCGCUGAAAGCAUCUAAGCGCGAAACUCGCCUGAAGAUGAGACUUCCCUUGCGGUUUAACCGCACUAAAGAGUCGUUCGAGACCAGGACGUUGAUAGGUGGGGUGUGGAAGCGCGGUAACGUGUGAAGCUAACCCAUACUAAUUGCUCGUGAGGCUUGACUCU